rnacentral:rRNA from 1 species
CCUACGGGUGGCUGCAGUGGGGAAUUUUGGACAAUGGGGGCAACCCUGAUCCAGCCAUUCCGCGUGAGUGAAGAAGGCCUUCGGGUUGUAAAGCUCUUUCGGCCGGGAAGAAAUCGCAUCUCCUAAUACGGGGUGUGGAUGACGGUACCGGAAGAAGAAGCACCGGCUAACUACGUGCCAGCAGCCGCGGUAAUACGUAGGGUAAGAGCGUGAAUCGGAAUUACUGGGCGUAACUCAUGAAGAGAGAUGUGAAAUCCCCGGGCUUAACAUGGGAACUGCGUUUGUGACUGGUGGGCUUGAGUGCGGCAGCGGGGGGUGGAAUUCCACGUGUAGCAGUGAAAUGCGUAGAGAUGUGGAGGAACACCGAUGGCGAAGGCAGCCCCCUGGGUCGACACUGACGCUCAUGCACGAAAGCGUGGGGAGCAAACAGGAUUAGAUACCCCUGUAGUC